rnacentral:rRNA from 1 species
AGAGUUUGAUCAUGGCUCAGAUUGAACGCUGGCGGCAUGCCUUACACAUGCAAGUCGAACGGCAGCACGGGGGCAACCCUGGUGGCGAGUGGCGGACGGGUGAGGAAUACAUCGGGAUCUACCUAGUUGUGGGGGAUAACGUAGGGAAACUUACGCUAAUACCGCAUGAGCCCUACGGGGGAAAGCGGCGGACCGCAAGGCGUCGCGCGAUUAGAUGAACCGAUGUCCGAUUAGCUAGUUGGCGGGGUAAAGGCCCACCAAGGCGACGAUCGGUAGCUGAUCUGAGAGGAUGAUCAGCCACACUGGAACUGAGACACGGUCCAGACUCCUACGGGAGGCAGCAGUGGGGAAUAUUGGACAAUGGGCGCAAGCCUGAUCCAGCCAUGCCGCGUGGGUGAAGAAGGCCUUCGGGUUGUAAAGCCCUUUUGUCCGGAAAGAAAAGCACGGGAUUAAUACUUUCGUGUGAUGACGGUACCGGAAGAAUAAGCACCGGCUAACUUCGUGCCAGCAGCCGCGGUAAUAC